rnacentral:rRNA from 1 species
UAAAGCUAAAGAGCCUCUAAGCCGUCGUACGCACUCCGAAAGCUCGAAAUCCAAUAAACGAAAGUAGCUUUAAUAUACUAACCUGACCCCACGAAAGCUAAGAAACAAACUGGGAUUAGAUACCCCACUAUGCUUAGCCCUAAACCAAGAUGUAAACUUACACACGCAUCCGCCCGGGUACUACGAGCUCAGCUUAAAACCCAAAGGACUUGGCGGUGUCUCAGACCCACCUAGAGGAGCCUGUUCUAGAACCGAUAAACCCCGAUAAACCUCACCACUUCUUGUUUUUCCCGCCUAUAUACCGCCGUCGUCAGCUUACCCCGUGAAGGCCUAAAAGUAAGCAAAAUUGGUGCACCCAAAAACGCCAGGUCAAGGUGUAGCGAAUGAAGUGGGAAGAAAUGGGCUACAUUUUCUACAAAGCAGAAUAUCACGAAUGACACCCUGAAACACAUGUCUGAAGGUGGAUUUAGUAGUAAAAAGAAAAUAGUGUGUCCUUUUGAAUUAGGCUCUGAGACGCGCACACACCGCCCGUCACUC